rnacentral:pre_miRNA from 1 species
UAUUUACUCCCUCCGUCCGGAAAUACUUGUCAUCAAAAUGAAUAAAAGGGAAUGUAUCUAGACGUAUUUUAGUUCUAGAUACAUCCCUUUCUAUCCAUUUUGAUGACAAGUAUUUUCGGACGGAGGGAGUACUUG